AUUGAACGCUAGCGGGAUGCCUUACACAUGCAAGUCGAACGAGUGGCGGACGGGUGAGUAAUGUCUGGGAAACUGCCCGAUGGAGGGGGAUAACUACUGGAAACGGUAGCUAAUACCGCAUAACAUCGGAUGUGACCAGAUGGGCUGAGCGAGUAGGUGGGGUAAUGGCUCACCUAGGCGACGAUCCCUAGCUGGUCUGAGAGGAUGACCAGCCACACUGGAACUGAGACACGGUCCAGACUCCUACGGGAGGCCGCAGUGGGGAAUAUUGCACAAUGGGCGCAAGCCUGAUGCAGCCAUGCCGCGUGUAUGAAGAAGGCCUUCGGGUUGUAAAGUACUUUCAGCGAGGAGGCGUUACUCGCAGAAUAAGCACCGGCUAACUCCGUGCCAGCAGCCGCGGUAAUUC
rnacentral:rRNA from 1 species